AAAAAAACCCACAUUAGGUAGGAAGCUGAUUAAUUCAAAAUAUUAUUUGAUUUUUUUUUAAUUUAUUAGCUUUGUUGUUUUGGUUGGUUGGUUUUGAUUUUGGUUUUCCAAGAUAGGGUACCCUAGCUGUUCUGGAACUCACUCUGUAGACCAGGCUAGCCUGGAACUUGGAGAUCUACCUGCCUCUGUCUCCCAAUUAAAAAUAUUUUAAUAUUUUUUAGGAAUGCAUAUGUGCAGGUACUCUGAAAACUCAGAAGAGGGCGUCAGAUCCUCUGGAAGAGUAAUAAUGCUCUUAACCCCAGGACUGCUCUCCAGCCCCAUUAGUUUGUUCUUUGUUGUUGGGUUUUUUUUUAAGAUUUGUUUAUUUAUUUUAUGUAUAUGAGUACACUGUAGCUGAACAGAUGGUUGUGAGCCUUCAUGUGGUUAUUGGGAAUUGAAUUUUAGGAUCUCUGCUUGCUCCAGUCAGCCCCGCUCACUCUGGUCAACCCUGCUUUCUCAGUCCCUGCUCACUCUGGCUCAAAGACUUAUUUAUUACUAUAUGUAAGUACACCGUAGCUGUCUUCAAAUGCUCCAGAAUAGGCCAUCAGAUCUCAUUAUAGAUGGUUGUGAGCCACCAUGUGGUUGCUGGGAUUUGAACUCAGGACCUUCGGAAGAGCAGUCAGUGCUCUUAACCACUGAGCCAUCUCACCAGCCCAUUAGUUUGUUCUUAUUCUAAACAAAAUUAGCAAAUAAUUUGAACAGUUCUCUAUAGAAGAUACAUGCUAGAAUUGUGACAUACACCUGUAAUUUCAACACGUGGAGUCUGAGGCAGAAUUGCAGUUUGGAAGCCAGCCUAGGUCAUGUAGUGAAAAACAUCCUAAAAACACAAUGAAAGAACUCCAUGUGGCAAAUAAGCAUGUGAGAAGACGGACUGCUUCUCCAGAUGACAAGAUGCUACUUCUGCUUCAUAGCCACCGGGGUCUUUAUACCCAAAAUAAUGGAGAGUAGCAUGCUGGGAAGGGCCUUAGACAAACCUGAGGAAUGUUUUUAUAUUUGUCUGCAAGUUUACUGUCCCAGUCUGUUUGCGUCACUGAUGGUGGGAAUAUAAAAGAAUACAGUCAUGUGGAAAUGUUAGGCAGUUAUUCCAGGUGUUAAACACAGAUACUGUGUAACCAGAAAAAUCCACUUCUACAUAAAUGCCAAGCAGAAUUGAAAAUUCAUAUUCACACAAGAAUGUAUACAGGAACAUUCAUGACAACUGUCUUUGUGAUAGCCAAAAGGAAAUAACCUAGAGUCUAUAACUGAUAACAAAAAUGCGGUAUAUCUUCAACACAGUAGGGUAUUUAGCUGUAAAAAAAGAAUGGAUGCAUGCUACAAGUGGAAGAACCCUGAAGACAUUCUAAGUGAAAGAAGCCAGACAAAAGCCCAUAAAUGUUGUGGUCCUGCCUGUGUGGAAUGUACAGAGUAGGCAAAUGCUCAGAAACAAACAGUCUCACGGUCACCAGAAGCUGGGAGGUGGGAGCGGUAGACUGGCAGUGACUGCUUACAGGAACCGGCUUUCUCACUGAAGCAGUGAGAAUGUGCUGGAAUUUGAUAGCGAGAAUGAUUACACAACUGUGUGAUAUACUAAAAACUGUGUUGUACACUUUCAAUAAGUUUAAAUUAUGUGAAUUAUAUCUCAAUGCCAAAUUUUAAAAUAAUUCUUAGGCACCAUGGAAGCCUGAAAGAAUGAGUAAUUUAUGCAAUUAUCAUCAGUGCUUUCCUGAGGUGAUCAUUGAAUUGGGUUCAGUCUGCUGUGACCAGAACAUUGAAAUGACAGAAGAAGACAGUGGUUGGCAAGUGAUUUGGGUCACUUAAAGAUCUUGGAAUUUCUUCUAAAGGAAAUGGGAAUUGAUCAAAGGUUUCAAAUCAGUUUUCUUGAAGUGUGUUUUGGGAGCUGGAGAGAUGAUUCUAUGGGUAAGAGCAUUUGCUGUUCCUGCAGAGGACCCGGACUCAGUUCCCAGCGCCCACAUGGGGUCACUUGCAACUUCCUGUAGCUCUAUUUUCAAAGAAUCAUGGGCCCUUUGGCCUUUGCAGGCACCUGUUCAUACAUACCCUGAGGCACACACACACUUGACAUAAAGAAACCUUGUGGUGGCUGCUCUUAGUAUAUGAGAUGAUGGCAGGCUUGACAAGAACACU
rnacentral:lncRNA from 1 species